rnacentral:rRNA from 1 species
UGGGGAAUAUUGCGCAAUGGGGGGAACCCUGACGCAGCCAUGCCGCGUGAAUGAAGAAGGCCUUAGGGUUGUAAAGUUCUUUCGGUAUUGAGGAAGGUUGAUGUGUUAAUAGCACAUCAAAUUGACGUUAAAUACAGAAGAAGCACCGGCUAACUCCGUGCCAGCAGCCGCGGUAAUACGGAGGGUGCGAGCGUUAAUCGGAAUAACUGGGCGUAAAGGGCACGCAGGCGGUUAUUUAAGUGAGGUGUGAAAGCCCCGGGCUUAACCUGGGAAUUGCAUUUCAGACUGGGUAACUAGAGUACUUUAGGGAGGGGUAGAAUUCCACGUGUAGCAGUGAAAUGCGUAGAGAUGUGGAGGAAUACCGAAGGCGAAGGCAGCCCCUUGGGAAUGUACUGACGCUCAUGUGCGAAAGCGUGGGGAGCAAACAGGAUUAGAUACCCUGGUAGUCCACGCUGUAAACGCUGUCGAUUUGGGGGUUGGGGUUUAACUCUGGCGCCCGUAGCUAACGUGAUAAAUCGACCGCCUGGGGAGUACGGCCGCAAGGUUA